rnacentral:rRNA from 1 species
GGAAAUGGGGCAUGCUUAACAUGCAAGUCGUACCAACAGUAGGCGCGGUAGCUUGCUACCUGCCGGCGAGUGGCGAACGGGUGAGUAAUACAUCGGAACGUGCCCUGUAGUGGGGGAUAACUAGUCGAAAGACUGGCUAAUACCGCAUACGACCUGAGGGUGAAAGUGGGGGACCGCAAGGCCUCAUGCUAUAGGAGCGGCCGAUGUCUGAUUAGCUAGUUGGUGGGGUAAAGGCCCACCAAGGCGACGAUCAGUAGCUGGUCUGAGAGGACGAUCAGCCACACUGGGACUGAGACACGGCCCAGACUCCUACGGGAGGCAGCAGUGGGGAAUUUUGGACAAUGGGGGCAACCCUGAUCCAGCAAUGCCGCGUGUGUGAAGAAGGCCUUCGGGUUGUAAAGCACUUUUGUCCGGAAAGAAAUCGCUUCGGUUAAUACCUGGAGUGGAUGACGGUACCGGAAGAAUAAGGACCGGCUAACUACGUGCCAGCAGCCGCGGUAAUACGUAGGGUCCAAGCGUUAAUCGGAAUUACUGGGCGUAAAGCGUGCGCAGGCGGUUGUGCAAGACCGAUGUGAAAUCCCCGGGCUUAACCUGGGAAUUGCAUUGGUGACUGCACGGCUAGAGUGUGUCAGAGGGGGGUAGAAUUCCACGUGUAGCAGUGAAAUGCGUAGAGAUGUGGAGGAAUACCGAUGGCGAAGGCAGCCCCCUGGGAUAACACUGACGCUCAUGCACGAAAGCGUGGGGAGCAAACAGGAUUAGAUACCCUGGUAGUCCACGCCCUAAACGAUGUCAACUAGUUGUUGGGGAUUCAUUUUCUUAGUAACGUAGCUAACGCGUGAAGUUGACCGCCUGGGGAGUACGGUCGCAAGAUUAAAACUCAAAGGAAUUGACGGGGACCCGCACAAGCGGUGGAUGAUGUGGAUUAAUUCGAUGCAACGCGAAAAACCUUACCUACCCUUGACAUGCCACUAACGAAGCAGAGAUGCAUUAGGUGCUCGAAAGAGAAAGUGGACACAGGUGCUGCAUGGCUGUCGUCAGCUCGUGUCGUGAGAUGUUGGGUUAAGUCCCGCAACGAGCGCAACCCUUGUCUCUAGUUGCUACGAAAGGGCACUCUAGAAGAACUGCCGGUGACAAACCGAAGGAAGGUGGGGAUGACGUCAAGUCCUCAUGGCCCUUAUGGGUAAGGCUUCCACCGUCAUACAAUGUUGCAUACAAGGGGUUGCCAAGCCCCCAGGGUGGAGCUAAUCCCAGAAAAUGCAUCCGAAUCCCGGAUCGGAGUCUGGCACCUCGCACACUGGAAGCUUGGAAUCCCUAGAAAUCCGGGAUACACAUGCCCGGGGUAAAACCUUCCCCGGGUUUUGGACAACCCCCCCGUCACACCUGGGGAAUGGGGCUUUCACAAAGAAUUUUGGCAGUUACCCCCCGGAGGGGGCAUGUACCACCAGGGGGUUCUAACCGGGGGAGAAAA